AUACCCCAAGAAGGUCCCACAUUACUCCAAUUCUUGUUAAUCUGCAUUGUUUUACAAGUAAAAGCAGGGAUUGAGUUUAAAAUUUUACUUGUAACAUUUAAUGUAUACAUGGCUUUGCCCCAAAAUAUAUGACCGACCUCAUAACGAUUAGGAAACGACAGGGGAAUAACCAUUAGAUCUUCAAGGGCGGAGCUCAAAUUUGAGUAUUCCAAAGGAAGAAUGCUGUCAACUCUUGGUGAUCAUGCUUUUGCUUCGGCUGCUUAAAAUAUAUGAAACAAAUCUGUUUAACCACAGAUGUAAAAACUAAAAAUAUUUUGCCUGCAAAUGCAAGAAUAGGCUCUAACAGGAACGUGUGUCUUUUGCUACUGAUGCUACUUUUAAAUCAUAACAUAACCACCCUUUCUGUGUUGGUAAAUCACUUGAAUAACAAGUAACAGUAACAGAUUGUUGACUUUUUAGUUCUUUCUAGGACAAAAAGCAUGAUAUCAUAUUUUUAAAUUUUACUUUUGGAAGACUUCAUAAAUUUUCAGCUUAUGAUGCAUCCUAUCAUUCCUCCAACCGGAUUUACUCUCACAGCUUAUAAGUGCGACGAUAGCGUGUCUACAGCCCCCCUUGGGCAGUAGACGCAAACAUUGUUGUUUUAAUUAGUCAAUUUUUACCUUUGAUCCUUAUAUUGGGAUGCAAUUAUAAUUUAAUUUCCUAUUUUAAUGAUGAUUGGUUAUCUAAAAGCAUAAAACUAUGGUGUAGGACCUAACACUGAAUGCUGCUUCCAUAAUUGUUUAUUAUAUUAAAAAAAUAUUACAAUUAAUUAAUUUUGACCUUUGACCAUGGUUUUGGCAGAUAAAAUUUAUUAGCUAAUUAAUUAAUAAAUUUAUUUGCUUCUUUUAUAACAAUUAAAAACAUAAAACAUAAUAAAGUGAUAAAACACUGAGUUCUUAGUUUCCUAAUGGUUUAAGAACCGAUAAUGAUUAAUUUUAAAGUUGAACCGAGUUAUUUGAAUAGUAAUAUGAAAUGGGGCUUAAUGUAAUUGGUGAAAAUCAAGUGAAUUGUAGUUGUUAGGUAAUAAAUUUAAAAUGAAUAUUAGAAUUUGUAAUAUGAAUGAACUGUAAUUAUAUUUCAGUUAUAUUUCUAUUGUAAUUUGGGAAUAUUAUUUUUAAUUAUAUAUAUCUAUUGUAUUGUAAUGUAUCUGAGUUGAACGACAACUCAUCCACUACAUAAUGAUUUUGCUCUUAACAACUCUGGUUACCGUCUAAAUGUACCACUCACCAAACGUUGCCGUUAUAGAAACUCCUUCGUUCCCAACUCCAUUACCUCCAUAAUAAUAAUGUUAAUCGAUAAUUAUUGUGCAUUUUGGCCUAAUUUAAUUAUGUUUAAUGUGUAAUAUUGCUUAGUAAUGUAAUUUAUUUUGUUUGGUAUCCGUAGUUAUCUUUUAUUUAUUACUGUAGGCCUAUAUGUUUUUAAACAUUUGUAUACACUGCCAGUGGAAAGUAAUUUCUGAGUUUUUCAGACAAUAAAAUUAAAGUGAAUUUAGAAUCUUAAAUCUAUUGCAUAUUUAAAAUAUAUAUGAAAAAAGUAUAUAAAUAAUUUAAAAACAUUAACAAAAUAAUUAGAAUGAACCUCUGGUGAAUAGUUGAACUGUAUGCUAUAUUUUUGUUAUUGAUAAUUAUUUUAAAGUAUUAUUUUCGACAAAUCUAUUAAUAAAUUGCUCUUAAAUUAUAAUGUGAGUAAUUAGGUAGAGUAAUUAAACUGUAUAGCGUAUUGUUUUUGUAAUUUAUACUUGAAUGGAAUGCAAUACUUUCUGAUAAAUCUUAAGGAAUUGCUAAUAAACUGUAUUUUUUGUUUGACAUAGUUAGAAUACUAAUAAUUGAUUAAAUUGUAAAUUGGAUUUAAUUUCUAUUAGUGUAAUUGAUAAUUAAAUAAUAAUAAUGUCAACUUAUUAGGCACACAUAUCCAUCUCUUGGCAGAGCUGUCUUGCGGCCCCAUUUUCCACCUGCAGAGUAGCCCUUUUUCUGCAUUAUUUGCCACUUUUGGUUAUCCUUGGAAGGUUUUUUGUUGUAAUUUUCUUUAUCCUCAAACGUAAUGAUUUUAAGUAAGUAAAUAGUGUUGUAAAUUGUGUUAAUUGGUCAAUACUUUGACUUCAAAUAUCAGCUAUUCAAAUCAUAUUGACUUUAAUAAAAUUAUAUAUCUAUGUAAAGAAAGUGAUAA